rnacentral:rRNA from 1 species
GACGAACGCUGGCGGCGUGCUUAACACAUGCAAGUCGAACGGAAAGGCCCUGCUUUUGUGGGGUGCUCGAGUGGCGAACGGGUGAGUAACACGUGAGUAACCCGCCCUUGACUUUGGGAUAACUUCAGGAAACUGGGGCUAAUACCGGAUAGGAGCUCCUGCUGCACGGUGGGGGUUGGAAAGUUUCGGCGGUUGGGGAUAGACUCGCGGCUUAUCAGCUUGAUGGUGGGGUAGUGGCUUUCCAAGGGUUUGACGGCUCGGCGGCCUGGGAGGGUGACCGGGCACAAGAGUACUGAGGUACGCACCAGACGCCAAUCGGAGGCAACGGGGGGAAGUAUUGCGCAGUGGGCGGGAGUCUGUUGCAGCGGCGCCGCGUGCGUAAUGACGGCCUUCGGGUUGUGAACCGCUUUCGCCUGAGCCAAGACGUUAUUGACGGUAAUGGGUAAAAAAGCACCGGCUAACUACGUG